CUUCACAAAAUGGUUCUGCAAUGGACUGCAAUGAUUCUGUGUAAGUUGUGUAAUGUUUGCCAUUGAUGUCUAUUCAUGGUUAUUCUAUUUAUUGCUAUUUCACUAAUUUUUUUCCUACAUAUGAAGUGCAAGUGGUAGUGGUAGUGCAACUGGAAGGGGAAGGGGAAGGGGAAUGGGAAGGGGAAGGGGAAGGGGAACACAACCUGCAGAUGGGAACAAUGAACCAAUGUGAGUUUCAUACAUGAAUUAUCUAAUUUACUUGUUAAUUUUCUCAUUUCAUUUGUAUUAUUUUUAUAAAGUGCAAGUGAAGCUGUGGGGGGAAGGGAAAGGGGAAGUGGCAGAGGAAGAGGAAGAGGAAGAGAUAGAGGUGCAGCACGGGGUGCCAAUGAUAUAAACACAAGUGCGGUUGGACAGAGAAGGGGAAGAGGAGGGACACCAGGGAGGCUAGCAAGUUUGUUAGGUUUAGAUGCUUAAAUAUGUGUUGUUUGACACCUAGACUAGUAAAAAACUCACUACUUCUAGGUUCUUUUGUUGGACAUGUCAUGCAGACUUGUGCUUUGGAUCCUUAUGCAAGUUGGUGUGCAAAACUGUAGGUUGGGAUCUCAGAUUGACAUCCUUGAUGUAUUACAAUGUUAUUUGGAGAUGCUUUUGUGAUGGUUGUUA